rnacentral:lncRNA from 12 species
GUCAACCCCUGUCAUAGGUCUCCUUUUUACCCUGAGUUUUGAUGAUGGCUGUGUUGCCCUCGCUAGCUGACUGCAUUUUUCUGUACUGACAUAAAGGAGAAUCUCUGUAAACCACUCCCAGAUGAACAUGGCUGAAAUUGUGCUGCUCUCAGGAAAGUAGACCUGAGUUCUGUCAUGUCUGGAUCAGAUAGAGAACUUUUCAUAAAGGGCCCCAGAAAUACUUUUUUUUUUUUUUUUUUUUGGUGCCUUGCACCCCUAGCAAUAUGGGGAUCAGUAAUUCCUACAAGUUAAGGAGAGUGGGUUGGUUUGGGAACUGUCCAGGAAAUCCAGUGAAUCCUAGACAUAUGGAGGGAAAAAAUUAAGAAGCAUUUUUGUUCACAUCAGCACUGAAUGAGUGCUGUAGCACACUAUAAGCCACCAGGCUGUUUCACAGUGUGAUGCUUUGAAUGAGCCUUUACAUGGGUUUUUCUUCUUUUUAAAAUUUAAACUGUUACCAUGUUGUUUUCAAGGUAAGAAUGGUGAAGUCUUUUGGAAAAAGUCAGAGUAUGGCACACAGAAAGAGUUGGCAGCCUCCAAUUCCUACUUAUCCUGUUAGGCUCAUGUUUUGGUACUUCUGUUUUAUGCUAAAUGUGGAAGUUGGAUUAUGUCCCACAGCUGCAACUUUCUGGGCUCUCAGAAUUGCAGAGAAGACCUGAAGAGCCUUGGGAGGAGGCAUAUUAUUUAUUUCCAAGACAGCAUAAAUCACCAAGUGUCAGUGAGAAAGUGAGGAGGAAAACACAAUUCCAGUUUUGGCCAGAAAGAAGCAUCAGGCACAGCACUGCGAGAAAUCUUCAAAAACAAAGUUUUCUAUGAAUUGAGAAAUUAAGAUAAUGGAGCCACAGAAAUGUGAGUAUAUUUUCUCCACAUAAUGGCUUGAAUCAGCAUAUUUCCUA